UACGUAGGCAGCAAGCGUUGUUCGGAGUUACUGGGCGUAAAGGGUGUGUAGGCGGUUCUUUAAGUUUGGUGUGAAAUCUCCCGGCUCAACUGGGAGGGUGCGCCGAAUACUGAGGGACUAGAGUACGGGAGAGGAAAGUGGAAUUCCUGGUGUAGCGGUGAAAUGCGUAGAUAUCAGGAGGAACACCGGUGGUGUAGACGGCUUUCUGGACCGUAACUGACGCUGAGACACGAAAGCGUGGGUAGCAAACGGG
rnacentral:rRNA from 1 species